AUUAAAGAUUUCUGUCAAUAACGAUGUCAUUGACAGGGAAAUGAAAAGAGCGUUGGAAUACAAGUUCCAGAAGAAAUUCCCAGACGCUUUAAGCACCGUUUACAAAUACUGAGAAAAUGGAUUCUGGUAUCUUCAGAAAGCUGGAACGAAGUUCUCCUUAGAGGAAAUCCGUAAGUGGGCUAAAAGACCACUUCCCUGAAGUGAUGUAUUUUUGAUUGGAAAAGCGUUUUAUAACUUUGGCGGAUGGUUGGAAGAUACCAUUAGAUCCACCAAUGAAACGUUGGUGGAAGGCUGGAAAACGGAAUUAGAACUGCCGCCUUAAUCUGCGAACUAACGAUUGUAGAAAAUGUUUAAAAGUGCAGUCGGUGAGAUUAAGAUAAU